rnacentral:lncRNA from 1 species
CAGUUCUGUGUUGGAGAGAAGGGGUAUAAGGGAGGGGCACGGUGUAUAGUACUAUCAGUUCUGUGCACGUGUGUGUGUGUCUGGUGUGUGUGUGUGUGUGUCUGGUGUGUGUGUGUGUGUCUGGUGUGUGUGUGUGUGUGUGUGUCUGGUGUGUGUGUGUGUGUGUGUGUGUGUCUGGUGUGUGUGUGUGUGUGUGUGUGUGUGUGUGUGUGUGUGUGUGUGUGUGUGUGUGUGUGUGUGUGUGUGUGUGUGUGUGUGUCUGGUGUGUGUGUGUGUGUGUGUGUCUGGUGUGUGUGUGUGUGUGUGUGUGUGUCUGGUGUGUGUGUGUGUGUGUGUGUGUGUGUGUGUGUGUGUGUGUGUGUGUGUGUGUGUGUGUGUGUGUGUGUGUGUGUGUGUCUCUGCUGGGUGUGUAUGGAGUGUGUGUCUGGUGUGUGUAGUGGGGCGUGUAGGUUACUAGGUCCUAACCUUUCUUUCUGUUAUUUUUAUCGGCCCCCACAUUCUGCUCUCUCUCGCUCUAUCUCUCUGUCUCCACCAUUCAUUCACUCUCACCACCCUCCAUAACCACUAACCCCUCCAACCACUAACUGCAGUACACACACACACACACACACAACAAAUGUAAACACAUUCAAACCUUUACACACACACGGAUGCAAGUCCAUAUCUGCUUCUUCAGUCAAAAACAAACUUCCAGUCAAAUUGGGUUUUGUGGAUACGGAGGAAGGAGAGAAGAUGACUACGCUCAGAACAACAGUAGUAGUUUUACUGGGUUUCUACACCUUCUGCCAGGAGUCAAGAGCCUCAGUCCAAGGAGCCUCAGUCCCAGGAGCCUCAGUCCCAGGAGCCUCAGUCCUAGGCAGACCGUUGCUGUACGGCCCCUCAACAGCCCUAGAGAAGACUGUAGAAGAAUUCCAGUGUGAAGUUCUGCGUUACCCUAAAGAAGAGUCCAUCCUCUACCAGCUAUUCAGGUGGGUGUUGCUGUAUUGUAGGGAAUUCAGGGGUAGCCCUGACCGAGACUCAAACAACUGUCAACCCAAAACCUUAGUUGUUACGCCAAAAGAUCCUUUUCCGAACCUCUUGACCAGCUUGCUAAGUGUUUGGUUAAGAUUGCUACAAUAUCUACCUCAAGACCCUAAGUACUGUAGAUCUGAAAGGAG